UACGUAGGGGGCGAGCGUUGUCCGGAUUUAUUGGGCGUAAAGAGCUCGUAGGCGGUCUGUUGCGUCCGCUGUGAAAACUCGGGGCUUAACCCCGAGCCUGCAGUGGAUACGGGCAGACUAGAGGUAGGUAGGGGAGAAUGGAAUUCCCGGUGUAGAGGUGAAAUUCGUAGAUAUUCGCAAGAACACCAGUGGCGAAGGCGGCCCACUGGUCCGGUACUGACGCUGAGGUGCGAAAGCGUGGGGAGCGAACAGG
rnacentral:rRNA from 1 species